AUAAUGGAGAGUUUGAUCCUGGCUCAGGACGAACGCUGGCGGCGUGCCUAAUACAUGCAAGUCGAGCGGAACCCGGGGAGCU
rnacentral:rRNA from 1 species